UACGAAGGGGGCGAGCGUUGUUCGGAUUUACUGGGCGUAAAGGGCUCGUAGGCGGCCAACUAAGUCGGAUGUGAAAUCCCCAGGCUUAACCUGGGAACUGCAUCCGAUACUGGAUGGCUUGAAUCCGGGAGAGGGAUGCGGAAUUCCAGGUGUAGCGGUGAAAUGCGUAGAUAUCUGGAGGAACACCGGUGGCGAAGGCGGCAUCCUGGACCGGCAUUGACGCUGAGGAGCGAAAGCCAGGGGAGCAAACGGG
rnacentral:rRNA from 1 species